ACAUACACCUGAAACCCAGGCUGCCUCUCCCUUACUGGGUAGAGCAGCAUAAUGGGAGAUCAGUGGGGCAGAAUAGCAAGUGCUGAGGACCAGGCACCUAGGCUAAGUGGGAUUUCAGGGUAGAGGAUGCGAGUCCCAAGAGCUGAAUGCUAGUCUGAAGUGGGAGCACAUUCAGUGUGUCCCUGGGGUAUACCUGUCAUGUAAACGAAAGUGUGGGACAACAGGAUUUGCUUCAGUGGCAUUUCCCUGUUUGACACUAAGCAUUAAUGCUCAAAGGCUUUCCAUACAAUCAGUGCUCAUUGCACCAUGGCAGCACGUGCAGACCCCAGGUGAGGAAGGGCAUGGGUAACACCCACCCCCAAAGAUGCUGUUCUUGUCCCAAAAGGCACAGUCCCAUCUGGGAGUGUCUGUGCAGCUGAGGUUGCAGGCACAGAAGUGCCCUCCAGCUCCAGCGCCCGACAGUCACCUCCUUCCUCCCACUGACCCAGAUCUCUUCUCCAAGGAGGACUCUGUGCCCAGAAUGUGACUUUUCCUUCAUGAUGCAGCUACCGAGACAGUAAGAGGCUGUCCCAGCAUGAGCCUGACAGAGACCUGGGUCUCGAGGGGCAACAGAUUCUGGGAUAAAACACACAAUGGCAGGAACUGCCCUCUUGACUCCACCUUGACUAUCACAACUACCAGCUGUGAUUACCCACAUGGUUCUUAUGCAGCAGACUUUGUGAAGGUCAUGAGAGCUUUUGGGACAGGGACAUCCAAGCCCUUUGGCAGGGUAAAAUGGCAUCAGAAUUAGAAGUAACUCUAGGAAACUGGAGCAGUUGUCUCAGAUUUUCAGAAGGAAAUUGAAUGAAGAGAAAGAAAGUGCUUUUGGGAAGAUUACAUUAGAUGGCUUAUGGCUCUUGAAUUAAGAAGAAAAGGAAGUGGAGGUUGUAACCCAUCACAAUUUAACAUUGAAAAUAAAAAAAAGGUUAUUUUGAUAUUUCAAGGGAA